rnacentral:rRNA from 1 species
GGUUGUUGCUGGCCCUCUCGGGGGCAUGUGCACACCCACCAUCCUCAUCUCUCCACCUGUGCACCUCUUGUAGACCUGGAUUGACUUUCCGAGGCAACUCGGUCGGGAAGAUUGCUGCGCUCUGUGAGCCAGCUUUCUUUGCAUGUCCAGGCCUAUGUUUUUCAUAUACCCCUAUAGAAUGUAACAGAAUGUAUCAUUGGGCCUUGUGCCUAUAAACCUUAUACAACUUUCAGCAACGGAUCUCUUGGCUCUCGCAUCGAUGAAGAACGCAGCGAAAUGCGAUAAGUAAUGUGAAUUGCAGAAUUCAGUGAAUCAUCGAAUCUUUGAACGCACCUUGCGCUCCUUGGUAUUCCGAGGAGCAUGCCUGUUUGAGUGUCAUUAAAUUCUCAACCUUAUUAACUUUUGUUGAUAAUGGAUUGGAUUGUGGGGGUUUCUUUUGCUGGCUUCUUCACAGAGAUCAGCUCCCCUUAAAUGCAUUAGCUGGUGCCCCGCGUGGACCAUCUAUUGGUGUGAUAAUUAUCUACGCCGUGGAUGUCUGCAAUUAUAUGGGUUUCGCACUGCUUCUAACCGUCUGUUCAUUCGGACAAUACAUGACAAUUUGACCUCAAAUCAGGUAGGACUACCCGCUGAACUUAAGCAUAUCAAUAAGCGGAGGAAAARAAACUAACAAGGAUUCCCCCUAGUAACUGCGAGUGAAGCGGGAAAAGCUCAAAUUUAAAAUCUGGCGGUCUCCGGCCGUCCGAGUUGUAAUCUARARAAGUGUUAUCCGCGCUGGACCGUGUACAAAU